GUGGGGAAUAUUGGACAAUGGGCGAAAGCCUGAUCCAGCCAUGCCGCGUGUGUGAAGAAGGUCUUCGGAUUGUAAAGCACUUUAAGUUGGGAGGAAGGGCAGUAAGCUAAUACCUUGCUGUUUUGACGUUACCGACAGAAUAAGCACCGGCUAACUUCGUGCCAGCAGCCGCGGUAAUACGAAGGGUGCAAGCGUUAAUCGGAAUUACUGGGCGUAAAGCGCGCGUAGGUGGUUUUGUAAGUUGGAGGUGAAAUCCCCGGGCUCAACCUGGGAACUGCCUCCAAAACUGCAUGACUAGAGUACGGUAGAGGGUAGUGGAAUUUCCUGUGUAGCGGUGAAAUGCGUAGAUAUAGGAAGGAACACCAGUGGCGAAGGCGACUACCUGGACUGAUACUGACACUGAGGUGCGAAAGCGUGGGGAGCAAACAGGAUUAGAAACCCCUGUAGUCC
rnacentral:rRNA from 1 species